GCCUGGACAGCCAGCUCCACAGGGACAACAGUACGCGGUACCUGCUCCUUCGGGUCAGUGGAAUCCUGCAGCAUAUCCACAACAACAACAGCAGCAGCAACAACAACAACAACCCCCACCACAACAGCAGGCUUACCCUCAACAAAAUCCGUAUGCUGGGUACAGUUUUCCAGGCUAUGGGCAGUGAUUGUGAUCAUCUGAGAAAACGAGUUCAUUGCUGGUCUGUCUUGCUUGAAAUUUGGUGAUGCUGGUGACUCCGUUUGAAGGGUUUCCUGAUUUAUUCUUGUUUUGCUGAUAGUGUAUUGUGUCAGUAUUUGAAUCCAGGUAACAUUAUGUGGAUGGCCAUGCAAAAAAUUUAACAAACACAUACACACACACAGAAAAAAAAUACAUUAUCAUGGCGUGUUUUAAAUAAGUACAUUUGAUUAUUAUAAUAACUGUAAGACUUCCAGCAGUUAGGUUAUGUCUAAACUUUUCCACUUUCUCUUAAGGUUCCCUAUGAGAGACAGAACAACUGUAUAGACAUUUAAAGUUAUGAAUAUUGGAUGUAUGUGAAUUGUAUUGUCUUUCAGAUUUUACAGUCAUGGUGCACACUCACAUUCCUCAGAAGUGACAAUGGCUAUUUUACAUUAAUUGAGUAAAUCAGUUCCAUCUUAGUUCUGUAUGUUUUGUUUAAUCACAAGUUUUUCAGUAUGACCUCUGAGGCAUAACUAGAAGAGGGAAGGGCCAAUGCAGCUUUUACAAGGAAGUGAAAGUACAGACACUCUGAAACCAUUUUCAGGCUUAAAAAGGAAUUCCACUUUUUUCUUCUUUUUUUUUUUAAUAUUAUUAGUACUAUUAAAAGUUCGGUGUUACCAUGUAUUAAUUUAUAAUCUUCAUUUGAUGCUGUAAUUAUUAUUAUUUUUUUGACAAACCUUAAAAACUAGCCUUUCAGUACUUGGAAUAAUACCUUUUAUGAUUACAGCUGCCUGGCCCUGUUAAUCUUCUUGUAUGGUAAGGUUUAGUCCUUAGUUUUACCACUGCUACACCAGAGAAAUAUGUUGUUUAAUGAUAGAGGCUCCAAAAGAGCUUUUAAGCAGUAUGUUUUUAGCUGUGUAACAUUUGUUAUUGUUUUGUACCCUUGUGAUCAAUAAAUCAUCACAUUUUCAGUGCUUAAUAAAGUUAAGUGAUUAAAGCUUC